CCAAUAGCGUAUAUUAAAGUUGUUGCAGUUAAAAAGCUCAUAGUUGAAUUUCGGGAUCAAUAUAUUGGUCAUGCUUAGGUAUGUACUGGUAUUAUUGAUUUCUCCCUUCUGAAGAACCAUAAUGUCAUUAAUUUGAUGUCAUGGGGAAUCAGAACUGUUACUUUGAAAAAAUUAGGGUGUUUAAAGCAGGCUUUCGCUUGAAUACAUUAGCAUGGAAUAAUGAAAUAGGACGUUUGAUUCUAUUUUGUUGGUUUCUAGGAUCGACGUAAUGAUUAAUAGGGAUAGUUGGGGGCAUUAGUAUUCAAUUGUCAGAGGUGAAAUUCUUGGAUUUAUUGAAGACUAACUACUGCGAAAGCAUUUGCCAAGGAUGUUUUCAUUAAUCAAGAACGAAAGUUAGGGGAUCGAAGACGAUCAGAUACCGUCGUAGUCUUAACCAUAAACUAUGCCGACUAGGAAUCGGAUGAUGUUAAUUUUUUAAUGACUCAUUCGGCGCCUUACG
rnacentral:rRNA from 1 species